rnacentral:rRNA from 1 species
AUGGGGAGUAGGCUGCUCUUGGUGCUCGACCGGGCGCUCACCGACGAGCAAGACUAUCACGAGCGCGCCCAGGUGCAGCACAAGGGCAUGGAGGCGGACGUCCUGCUGCUGCCUUGGUCUCCACCCCAUCGUCGUUGCCUUUCCCCUUCCUCCUCUGGCCCUGAGACAUCUUGUUGUUGUGUCCACCACGUCCGGUCUUCGUCCGGCCAUCCAAUCUCCUCCUUCCCUAUGAGAUUUUGUACGAAGGAGAGAAGUCGAACCAUGGCGAAGAUAAAGGCGGCCGCUAAGCCACCCCCUAGGAACCGGAUGCACAAAUGCGAUACGGUCUUUUCCUGCCUAUUCUGCAGUCAUGGGAGCAGCGCUGAAUGUCGGAUGAUAGUACCAUCUUCACGUAUUUUUACUGUUAGUUGGUUUAUACUAGAUGGUUAUCUAUCCAUUCAACAUUGUAACAUGCCUUCAUUUUUCUUCAAUGAUACAAAUUAA